CCCCUGGACACUCUCCCGCGCGCUCUCUCUCUCUCUCUCUCUCUCCUCGCGCGUGCUGUUCCUUCUUAUCUCGCUUUCCCUCAACGUCUGCUCCCGUUCGAAACGCCUCCGGCCUUCUCGAACGCUCUCCUCCGUCUCUCGGGCGCCGGCGGCGCGCCCGUCGUCCCUCUCCGGACGCGCCGUCGCCGCCGUCGACCUUCGGAUGUCGGACGGCCUUUCCGAGUUCGUUUUCGGCGCGGCCCCGUCGGAGGAGCUCGGAUGCGCGGCUCGAAGGUGCGCGUUUCUCCGCGCGCGUCUCCCUGGAUUACGAACGGCUCUGUGUUGAACAACGGCAGCUUUUUGUUGUCGAUGAAUGGACGAUCGCUUGUUUUCGAGCCGGCGUGUCGAUCUUAUCUUGCUCUCCGGCGCUCUCCCGCGGAUGAGUCCCGUACAGUUUCCGUUUGAUCUGGACCGAUGGCUUCGUAGCUUGGAUCAAGGAUUUUAGGCCGCGUCGCAUUGCGGUUCCGUUCAUCUCGCAUCAUCUUUCUCCAGCUCUUGCCAUCUAACUUUGAUGGGGCUCCAUCAGAUGCCUUGCACAAUGUGCUCGAAAAUAAGGUGCACAGUCAGGCAUCUUGACUCACUUAGCUGUUGCGAACCGAUGUUUCAGUAGCUCCUGCUGGCUACAUGCUAUUUGAGUAACGCACGUUCAAGGACAGAAUAAGAAAUUUCAACAUCAGCCUUUCAUAAAUGGAGAUGGCAUUAACUGCGAGGACAACCUGCUGAAAUCAGAGGAUUCAAUGAUUUCAAUCAGACGGGCAGAAUUUGCUUGCAGCUUGUGCGACACGAGAUCUUCUCCCCAUACUUUCAAAUUUGCACGAUGUAUUAGAUUCCAGAAUAGAAACUUGCUCUAUGUGGUCAUUUCUGGCACCUUUUGCUUUGAGUCCUGAGUUUCGUUGCUCCCAAUUCUUGAAGCAGACUACAUGAGGUUGGUCAGCGGACUGUAUCUUGUUGCCAGGGGCUGGCCGCUCUCAGCUUAGGUGAGGUGAAGUAAAGGUUCCUGUACGACGGCUAUCUACUCUUUAUUAAUCAUGUUCCUGUAUUCGUGUACCAUGCUAGGAUGCGAAUGACAGAUUUACGGCUAACCCACAUGGAGAUCUACCAAAUAUAGCGAGAUAUGUCUCCCGCAGUAAUUGCUGGGGAUUUUUGCUAGGAGGGCUUGGAGAUUUGUUUCUGGAAGUGUUCUUGGAGGAGGAUGCAGUUAGUCAAAAAUAGCUGCUCCUCCCUACUUCCCCCGACAGUCUGAGGCAGUCCUUUUCUCGUACAUCGGAAGGCUUCCAGGACACGUGAUUGCGAGUGCUCCUAGUUUCUGGGAUAGGGCAAUGCUCAGGACAAUUGCUCUCACGCUUCUAAUAGAUACUGGCCACUUCAAAAGACCAUUGAUCAGUGGUGGUGAUAACUUUAUUGGAUUGGUAUCGAUACCGGUUAUAAAGCUUUUGAAAGUCUGAAAAUAUCGUUUAACAAAAAAGAUAAAUAGAAACAAGAAAGCAAAGGCGGAGAGUGAAACGACAAACUUCGUCCGUCAGAGUCGAUGGCAGCGUCGGCAACGGUUGCACGAGUAUGGCAUGAGGGUCGAGGGUCAAGGGUCGGGGCCUCACGCAUGUGCGGCAAGGAUGGCACGAUCCACUUCCGUCGAUGGCAUCGGCGGCAUCGGCAAGGCUGACAUGACCCAUCGUCCGUUGAAGGUGAAGACGCACAGCCUUUCCGCCGGAUCUCUAUCUGCGCUGAAGACAACCAAGCAAACACGGAAUUAAAAGCCAAAAUCAGAGGAAAGAGAGCGACGGCUCCUCUUGGCCUGAUUUGUCGACAUCGUAUCUCAAGUUCAUCCAAAACACCACGUCAAUUCCAGCAACCGUCGUUCUCUCCUGUUCUCCUUUUUUAUGAUACUUCUUUUCCAUCUCAAGAUUUUGCUGAUUAGAUGUAAUAGAAAAAAAAGAAAAAGAAAAAGAAUUGGCAACAAAGAGUCAAGUCAAGACCUGAGCGGCUCUCCCGGGUGAGUGAGUACUGCAGGGGGGCAUUGUGUACGGCCCUGUCUAUGAAAACCUGACUCUGCAAAAUAGGUCAUGAAAGCCUGGGCUUUGCGCUUUCCGGGGUAACAACCAUAUGAAGGAAAAGGCUGCCCCUAGGGAUCCUGUGCAUGUCGGUGUUACUGUUUAACUCAUUUGGACACAAUCUUCGUCUCUGCACGACUAUAGUGGCGGGUCGCGCACGCAAGGAAAAAAUCCACGCCUUGAGUAAUGCUUCGUGUUUCCUCGCUUUUUUCGCUAGAUGGGUCGCGGUCUGGUCUACUUCCAUAAUUAGCUAGCUCUGAUUCUCUCUAAUCUUGGCCCUGAAGGUGGUGCAUGGAGCUCCUCCACUUUCUUGAGAGUGGUUCUUGGCACAGUUUCGCCAUGGAAGCCAUUCCCUGCAUUCAACAAAGAAGAAGGUUUAGAAAGCCUAGAGUCCCUGUCUACGUGUGAAGCUCUGGCACCAGAUGGAGCUGCACAAUUCUGGGGGUAUAAACGCAACGACAGGAAAAACGUCUCCAGAAUGAAGCAAUAGCGACAUCAUUUUGAGAAUAAGAAGAUGAAUAGAUUUCUAUGAGUUGCAUAAUAAUCUUUAAAUGGUCUCAAAUUAUAUUGACCAUCGGAUGAAUUUCAUGGAGAGGCAUCUAAGGCACUUACCGAGGUACAUAAUUUCAUCUCCAUUUUAUGUUCUUAUAUUGCAUCUCUUUCAUGUGGUUUGCAAUUGUAUGUGCUUUGAUUUUCCUUGAAAAGUUUAGGCAAUCUGCAUCUGCAACUGUGAUGGUAUUCAAACAAUCAUGAUAUUUCUCUCCGUCUGUGGACUCUGGUGAAACACAAGUUCAUUGGAUAGUGGACAACUUAAGUGCCCUUUGUCUAGUCAAUCACUUCUAAAAAGCUAUGUUCUUCCAUGCAAUGGAUACACCAGAUUACUUUAUUUCAAAAUUCUACGGAGUAGACAAUGAUAAAAUAAGGGUUUUCAACGAGUGAAGCUUUAGAUAAAUCGCGGAAAAUAUUUCUUGAUUGGAGAAUUAGCCUUCCUUAUCUAUCCUUUCUGGGUCAAAUUGUAUUCUUCUAAGUUCUUCAUUUCCGGUCAGACAUAGGAGAAGUACAUAAUAGAAGCACAUAUUAUUGCAGACAAUUUACUGAAGGAACACACUAGUCCACACAUAAGUUGUACAAUUGUGACACACAUGCCUAUAAUACAUGCCAAACACAAAGGAAAAAGCCUCACCAAUUUCUACCACCAUGUAUUUAUUCAGCUGCCAUCAAAUGUUCGAGAAUAUACCCAUAAUUCCGUUAGCACUGAUACGGACUGUUGUAGGCCUCCCACGUUUUGACAAAGAGAUGAAGCUCUCUGAACUCAAG